rnacentral:rRNA from 1 species
UGAACGCUAGCUACAGGCUUAACACAUGCAAGUCGAGGGGCAGCAUGGUCUUAGCUUGCUAAGGCCGAUGGCGACCGGCGCACGGGUGAGUAACACGUAUCCAACCUGCCGUCUACUCUUGGACAGCCUUCUGAAAGGAAGAUUAAUACAAGAUGGCAUCAUGAGUCCACAUGUUCACAUGAUUAAAGGUAUUCCGGUAGACGAUGGGGAUGCGUUCCAUUAGAUAGUAGGCGGGGUAACGGCCCACCUAGUCUUCGAUGGAUAGGGGUUCUGAGAGGAAGGUCCCCCACAUUGGAACUGAGACACGGUCCAAACUCCUACGGGAGGCAGCAGUGAGGAAUAUUGGUCAAUGGGCGAGAGCCUGAACCAGCCAAGUAGCGUGAAGGAUGACUGCCCUAUGGGUUGUAAACUUCUUUUAUAAAGGAAUAAAGUCGGGUAUGGAUACCCGUUUGCAUGUACUUUAUGAAUAAGGAUCGGCUAACUCCGUGCCAGCAGCCGCGGUAAUACGGAGGAUCCGAGCGUUAUCCGGAUUUAUUGGGUUUAAAGGGAGCGUAGAUGGAUGUUUAAGUCAGUUGUGAAAGUUUGCGGCUCAACCGUAAAAUUGCAGUUGAUACUGGAUAUCUUGAGUGCAGUUGAGGCAGGCGGAAUUCGUGGUGUAGCGGUGAAAUGCUUAGAUAUCACGAAGAACUCCGAUUGCGAAGGCAGCCUGCUAAGCUGCAACUGACAUUGAGGCUCGAAAGUGUGGGUAUCAAACAGGAUUAGAUACCCUGGUAGUCCACACGGUAAACGAUGAAUACUCGCUGUUUGCGAUAUACUGCAAGCGGCCAAGCGAAAGCGUUAAGUAUUCCACCUGGGGAGUACGCCGGCAACGGUGAAACUCAAAGGAAUUGACGGGGGCCCGCACAAGCGGAGGAACAUGUGGUUUAAUUCGAUGAUACGCGAGGAACCUUACCCGGGCUUAAAUUGCAGAUGAAUUACGGUGAAAGCCGUAAGCCGCAAGGCAUCUGUGAAGGUGCUGCAUGGUUGUCGUCAGCUCGUGCCGUGAGGUGUCGGCUUAAGUGCCAUAACGAGCGCAACCCUUGUUGUCAGUUACUAACAGGUCAUGCUGAGGACUCUGACAAGACUGCCAUCGUAAGAUGUGAGGAAGGUGGGGAUGACGUCAAAUCAGCACGGCCCUUACGUCCGGGGCUACACACGUGUUACAAUGGGGGGUACAGAGGGCCGCUACCACGCGAGUGGAUGCCAAUCCCCAAAACCUCUCUCAGUUCGGACUGGAGUCUGCAACCCGACUCCACGAAGCUGGAUUCGCUAGUAAUCGCGCAUCAGCCACGGCGCGGUGAAUACGUUCCCGGGCCUUGUACACACCGCCCGUCAAGCCAUGGGAGCCGGGGGUACCUGAAGUGCGUAACCGCGAGGAGCGCCCUAGGGUAAAACUGGUGACUGGG